rnacentral:sRNA from 2 species
GAAUAGCCUUGUUAGGUGAGGUUACUGUACUAGAGAUACGCUGCUGCCCAGAAAUGUCCAAAGACGCCAACGGGUCAACAGGAAUUUCCGAAUUAAGGGGAUUCUUAAUGUAGCUGGGAGUCCCUAUGCUGUACAGAGCUGAAACUCAAUGAAGAGGUGCGCA